UACGGGGGGGGGCAAGCGUUGUUCGGAAUUACUGGGCGUAAAGGGCUCGUAGGUGGCCAACUAAGUCAGACGUGAAAUCCCUCGGCUUAACCGGGGAACUGCGUCUGAUACUGGAUGGCUUGAGUUCGGGAGAGGGAUGCGGAAUUCCAGGUGUAGCGGUGAAAUGCGUAGAUAUCAGGAGGAACACCGGUGGCGAAGGCGGGUCUCUGGGCAACUACUGACGCUGAGGAGCGAAAGCGUGGGGAGCGAACAGG
rnacentral:rRNA from 1 species